AUGGUAGGAUAGAGGCCUACCAUGGUGGUAACGGGUAACGGGGUGUUAGGGCACGACACCGGAGAGGGAGCCUGAGAAACGGCUACCACAUCCAAGGAAGGCAGCAGGCGCGCAAAUUACCCAAUCCCGACACGGGGAGGUAGUGACAAUAAAUAACAAUACAGGGCUCUUUUGGGUCUUGUAAUUGGAAUGAGUACAAUUUAAAUCUCUUAACGAGGAACAAUUGGAGGGCAAGUCUGGUGCCAGCAGCCGCGGUAAUUCCAGCUCCAAUAGCGUAUAUNAAAGUUGUUGCAGUUAAAAAGCUCGUAGUUGAAUUUCGGGAUCAAUAUGUCGGUCGUGCCUUCGGUACGUACUGGUAUCAUUGGUCUCUCCUUUCUGACGAACCAUGAUGUCAUUAAUUUGGUGUUAUGGGGAGUUAGGACUGUUACUUUGAAAAAAUUAGAGUGUUUAAAGCAGGCUUUAGCUUGAAUACAUUAGCAUGGAAUAAUGAAAUAGGACGUUCGAACCUAUUUUGUUGGUUUCUAGGAUCAACGUAAUGAUUAAUAGGGAUAGUUGGGGGCAUUAGUAUUCAAUUGUCAGAGGUGAAAUUCUUGGAUUUAUUGAAGACUAACUACUGCGAAAGCAUUUGCCAAGGAUGUUUUCAUUAAUCAAGAACGAAAGUUAGGGGAUCGAAGACGAUCAGAUACCGUCGUAGUCUUAACCAUAAACUAUGCCGACUAGGAAUCGGAUGAUGUUAAUUUUUUAAUGACUCAUUCGGCGCCUUACGGGAAACCAAAGUGUUUGGG
rnacentral:rRNA from 1 species